AUGAAGAGUUUGAUCCUGGCUCAGGAUGAACGCUAGCUACAGGCUUAACACAUGCAAGUCGAGGGGCAGCAUGGUCUUAGCUUGCUAAGGCCGAUGGCGACCGGCGCACGGGUGAGUAACACGUAUCCAACCUGCCGUCUACUCUUGGACAGCCUUCUGAAAGGAAGAUUAAUACAAGAUGGCAUCAUGAGUCCGCAUGUUCACAUGAUUAAAGGUAUUCCGGUAGACGAUGGGGAUGCGUUCCAUUAGAUAGUAGGCGGGGUAACGGCCCACCUAGUCUUCGAUGGAUAGGGGUUCUGAGAGGAAGGUCCCCCACAUUGGAACUGAGACACGGUCCAAACUCCUACGGGAGGCAGCAGUGAGGAAUAUUGGUCAAUGGGCGAGAGCCUGAACCAGCCAAGUAGCGUGAAGGAUGACUGCCCUAUGGGUUGUAAACUUCUUUUAUAAAGGAAUAAAGUCGGGUAUGCAUACCCGUUUGCAUGUACUUUAUGAAUAAGGAUCGGCUAACUCCGUGCCAGCAGCCGCGGUAAUACGGAGGAUCCGAGCGUUAUCCGGAUUUAUUGGGUUUAAAGGGAGCGUAGAUGGAUGUUUAAGUCAGUUGUGAAAGUUUGCGGCUCAACCGUAAAAUUGCAGUUGAUACUGGAUAUCUUGAGUGCAGUUGAGGCAGGCGGAAUUCGUGGUGUAGCGGUGAAAUGCUUAGAUAUCACGAAGAACUCCGAUUGCGAAGGCAGCCUGCUAAGCUGCAACUGACAUUGAGGCUCGAAAGUGUGGGUAUCAAACAGGAUUAGAUACCCUGGUAGUCCACACGGUAAACGAUGAAUACUCGCUGUUUGCGAUAUACGGCAAGCGGCCAAGCGAAAGCGUUAAGUAUUCCACCUGGGGAGUACGCCGGCAACGGUGAAACUCAAAGGAAUUGACGGGGGCCCGCACAAGCGGAGGAACAUGUGGUUUAAUUCGAUGAUACGCGAGGAACCUUACCCGGGCUUAAAUUGCAGAUGAAUUACGGUGAAAGCCGUAAGCCGCAAGGCAUCUGUGAAGGUGCUGCAUGGUUGUCGUCAGCUCGUGCCGUGAGGUGUCGGCUUAAGUGCCAUAACGAGCGCAACCCUUGUUGUCAGUUACUAACAGGUUCCGCUGAGGACUCUGACAAGACUGCCAUCGUAAGAUGUGAGGAAGGUGGGGAUGACGUCAAAUCAGCACGGCCCUUACGUCCGGGGCUACACACGUGUUACAAUGGGGGGUACAGAGGGCCGCUACCACGCGAGUGGAUGCCAAUCCCCAAAACCUCUCUCAGUUCGGACUGGAGUCUGCAACCCGACUCCACGAAGCUGGAUUCGCUAGUAAUCGCGCAUCAGCCACGGCGCGGUGAAUACGUUCCCGGGCCUUGUACACACCGCCCGUCAAGCCAUGGGAGCCGGGGGUACCUGAAGUGCGUAACCGCGAGGAGCGCCCUAGGGUAAAACUGGUGACUGGGGCUAAGUCGUAACAAGGUAGCCGUACCGGAAGGUGCGGCUGGAACACCUCCUUU
rnacentral:rRNA from 1 species